GCUUAGAAGCAGCCACUCAUUAAAAGAGUGCGUAAUAGCUCACUGGUCGAGUGACUCUGCGCCGAAAAUUUAACGGGGCUAAACUAUACACCGAAGCUUGGGAUACAUCUAAUGUAUGGUAGGAGAGCGUUCUGUAUGGGGAGAAGUCGUAGCGAAAGCGGCGGUGGACUAUACAGAAGUGAGAAUGCCGGAAUAAGUAGCGAGAAUUAAGUGAGAAUCUUAAUGGCCGAAAGUCUAAGGUUUUUGGAGGAAGGUUCGUCCGCUCCAAGUAAGUCGGGAGCUAAGGUCAGGCCGAAAGGCGUAGCCGAUGCACAUACGGUUGAUAUUCCGUAACCAUCUGUAAUUUAAGCAAAGGGACACUUCAAAAGGGUGUGACCCGGGCGUUGGUUGACCCGGGCGUAAGGGACCGAAAUUAGAGUAGGGAAGCACACUUGGCUGAAGGCGAGAAAAGCUUUGCGUAUAGAAACAGAUGCCCGUACCGCAAACCGACACAGGUGGACAGGAAGAGAAUUCUAAGGCCAGCGGGAGAAGGGUAGUUAAGGAACUCGGCAAAUUGACUCCGUAACUUCGGAAUAAGGAGUGCUCGAAAGAGCCGCAGAGAAUAGGCCCAGGCGACUGUUUAGCAAAAACACAGGUCUCUGCCAAAUCGAAAGAUGAAGUAUAGGGGCUGACACCUGCCCGGUGCCGGAAGGUUAAGAGGAGGAGUGAGAGCUCCGAAUUGAAGCCCCGGUAAACGGCGGCCGUAACUAUAACGGUCCUAAGGUAGCGAAAUUCCUUGUCGGGUAAGUUCCGACCCGCACGAAUGGUGUAACGAUCUGGGCACUGUCUCAACUACCCACCCGGCGAAAUUGUAGUACCGGUGAAGAUGCCGGUUACCUGCGGCAAGACGGAAAGACCCCAUGGAGCUUUACUGUAGCCUGAUAUUGGGUUUCGGAAAUCUAUGUACAGGAUAGGCGGGAGACUAGGAAACAUGAGCGUCAGCUUGUGUGGAGUCGAUGUUGGGAUACCGCCCUUAGGUUUCUGGAAUUCUAACCUGCGGCCGUGAAUCCGGUCGGGGGACAUUGUCAGGUGGGCAGUUUGACUGGGGCGGUCGCCUCCGAAAAGGUAACGGAGGCGCUCAAAGGUUAGCUCAGCACGGACGGAAACCGUGCCUCUGAGUGUAAACGCAAAAGCUAGCCUAACUGCGAGGGUGACGGCCCGAGCAGUAACGAAAGUUGGAGUUAGUGAUCCGGCGGUAUGUGAAUGGAAAUGCCGUCGCUCAACGGAUAAAAGCUACCCUGGGGAUAACAGGCUGAUCUCCCCCAAGAGUCCACAUCGACGGGGAGGUUUGGCACCUCGAUGUCGGCUCAUCACAUCCUGGGGCUGUAUUCGGUCCCAAGGGUUCGGCUGUUCGCCGAUUAAAGUGGUACGCGAGCUGGGUUCAGAACGUCGCGAGACAGUUCGGUCCCUAUCUGUCGUGGGCGCAGGAUAUUUGAGGAGCUCUGUCCUUAGUACGAGAGGACCGGGAUGGACGUACCUCUGGUGCACCAGUUGUCAUGCCAAUGGCACGGCUGGGCAGCUAUGUACGGAACGGAUAAACGCUGAAAGCAUCUAAGCGUGAAGCCGACUCCAAGAUUAGAUAUCCCAUCGUAUAACGAGUAAGACCCCUUGAAGACUACGAGGUUGAUAGGCUGCGUGUGUAAGUGCCGUGAGGCAUUCAGCUUGGCAGUACUAAUAGGUCGAGGGCUUGACCA
rnacentral:rRNA from 1 species